UGGAUGAGRACGCRUUGGAUUAUYUAGUUGGUAAGGUAAUGGCUCWCCAAGGCGACGAUUCAUAGYUGGUYUGWGAGGAUGAUCAGCCACACUGGGACUGAGACACGGCCCAGACUCCUACGGGAGGCAGCAGUGGGGAAUAUUGGACAAUGGGCGCAAGCCUGAUYCAGCCAUGCCGCGUGUGUGAUGAAGGCCUUAGGGUUGUAAAGCACUUCACCGAUGAAGAUAAUGACGGUAGUCGARAGRGRAAUG
rnacentral:rRNA from 1 species